rnacentral:rRNA from 1 species
AGAGUUUGAUCAUGGCUCAGGAUGAACGCUGGCGGCGUGCUAAUACAUGCAAGUCGAACGGGAAAUUUGUAUAGAGAGCUUGCUCAAAGUACUUAUUUCUAGUGGCGAACGGGUGAGUAACACGUGGGUAACCUGCCUUUCAGUUGGGGAUAACUAGAGGAAACUUUAGCUAAUACCGAAUAACUGUUAAGACGGCAUCGUCUAAACAUAAAAGGGGCUUUUGCCCCGCUGAUAGAUGGACUCGCGGCGCAUUAGGUAGUUGGUGAGAUAACAGCUCACCAAGCCAAGGAUGCGUAGCCGACCUGAGAGGGUGAUCGGCCACAAUGGGACUGAGACACGGCCCAUACUCCUACGGGAGGCAGCAGUAGGGAGUUUUCGGCAAUGGGGGGAACCCUGACCGAGCAACGCCGCGUGAACGAAGAAGGUCUUCGGAUUGUAAAGUUCUGUUGUAGGGGAAUAAAGGUCGGAAGAAGAGAAUGUUUCCGAUUUGAAGGUACCCUGCCAGAAAGCCACGGCUAACUACGUGCCAGCAGCCGCGGUAAUACGUAGGUGGCAAGCGUUAUCCGGAAUUAUUGGGCGUAAAGAGUGAGCAGGCGGCUUUUUAAGUCUGAAGUCAAAUGCAGUGGCUCAACCACUGUCCGCUUUGGAAACUGAGAGGCUAGAGUACGAGAGAGGUAUAUGGAAUUCCAUGUGGAGCGGUGAAAUGCGUAGAUAUAUGGAGGAACACCAGUGGCGAAGGCGAUAUACUGGAUCGAUACUGACGCUCAGUCACGAAAGCGUGGGUAGCAAAUAGGAUUAGAUACCCUAGUAGUCCACGCCGUAAACGCUGAGAACUAAGUGUUGGGGUGAAACCCAGCGCUGAAGCUAACGCAUUAAGUUCUCCGCCUGAGGAGUACGGUCGCAAGACUGAAACUCAAAUGAAUUGACGG